GACGAACGCUGGCGGCAGGCUUAACACAUGCAAGUCGAACGAGAUCUUCGGAUCUAGUGGCAGACGGGUGAGGAACACGUGGGAACAUCCCUUUCAGUUCGGAAUAACGUUGGGAAACUAACGCUAAUACCGGAUACGUCCUUCGGGAGAAAGAUUUAUCGCUGAAAGAUUGGCCCGCGUCUGAUUAGCUAGUUGGUGAGGUAACGGCUCACCAAGGCUACGAUCAGUAGCUGAUCUGAGAGGAUGAUCAGCCACAUUGGGACUGAGACACGGCCCAAACUCCUACGGGAGGCAGCAGUGGGGAAUAUUGGACAAUGGGCGCAAGCCUGAUCCAGCCAUGCCGCGUGAGUGAUGACGGCCUUCGGGUUGUAAAGCUCUUUUGUCCGGGAAGAUAAUAACUGUACCGGAAGAAUAAGCCCCGGCGAACUUCGUGCCAGCCGCCGCCGUAA
rnacentral:rRNA from 1 species